CAAUAGCGUAUAUUAAAGUUGUUGCAGUUAAAAGCUCGUAGUUGGAUUUGUGGCGUACGGCGGACCCCCUUCUCUAUUGGGAGUCGGUGUGGUCUGGCGUUGCCAUCCUUGGGUGGAAUCUGUGUGGCAUUAGGUUGUCGUGCAGGGGAUGCCCAUCGUUUACUGUGAAAAAUUAGAGUGUUCAAAGCAGGCUUAUGCCGUUGAAUAUAUUAGCAUGGAAUAAUAAGAUAGGACCUUGGUACUAUUUUGUUGGUUUGCGCACCGAGGUAAUGAUUAAUAGGGACGGUUGGGGGUAUUCGUAUUCCAUUGUCAGAGGUGAAAUUCUUGGAUUUUUGGAAGACGAACUACUGCGAAAGCAUUUACCAAGGAUGUUUUCAUUAAUCAAGAACGAAAGUUAGGGGAUCGAAGACGAUCAGAUACCAU
rnacentral:rRNA from 1 species